AUACGGAGGGUGCAAGCGUUAAUCGGAAUUACUGGGCGUAAAGCGCGCGUAGGCGGUUUAGUCAGUCAGAUGUGAAAGCCCCGGGCUCAGCCUGGGAACUGCAUUUGAUACUGCUGAACUAGAGUAUGGUAGAGGGAAGUGGAAUUCCGGGUGUAGCGGUGAAAUGCGUAGAUAUCCGGAGGAACACCAGUGGCGAAGGCGACUUCCUGGACCAAUACUGACGCUGAGGUGCGAAAGCGUGGGUAGCAAACAGGAUUAGAAACCCUAGUAGUCC
rnacentral:rRNA from 1 species